UACAGAGGUCCCAAGCGUUGUUCGGAUUCACUGGGCGUAAAGGGUGCGUAGGUGGCCAGGUAAGUUUGGUGUGAAAGCUCGGAGCUUAACUCCGAAAAGUCAUUGAAUACUAUCUGGCUGGAGGGUCGGAGGGGAGACUGGAAUUCUCGGUGUAGCAGUGAAAUGCGUAGAUAUCGAGAGGAACACCAGUGGCGAAAGGCGAGUCUCUGGACGACUCCUGACGAGCUGAGGACACGAAAGCUAGGGGAGCAAACAGG
rnacentral:rRNA from 1 species